rnacentral:lncRNA from 1 species
CACUAGAGGUUGUAGUGUACUCGCAAAUAUCCUCCUCUCUCUCUCAGGGCGCAAGUGAGUGAAAGGCUCGCGGUGCGAUGAUAGUCACUGGUUGAAAGCGAACAGCUGUCUUCCCGUUCCCACUGUGCAUCGAUGUCGACCGGCAGAUGGAAAAGGUAUAGAAGUUAUAGAGACCAAUAAUAGGGGAUUCGAUACGGCGAUCGAUCGGUCAAGUCCCGCCAGGGGGAUAGUCCCGCCAAGGAAGAUACAUCAACGCAUAUCCAUCGCAACAGUUCUGUCAUCUGAGGAUAGCGCAAGAGGCUGAAGCUGAAGCCAAGUUGGGUGUGUAAGGGGUCUACUGAGUAGCACAGAGGCAGAAGCAUAAAGGUAAGACUGGGAUGCUAAUACAUCACUCUGCUUUUCAACAGGUCUAAAGAACAUACACAGCUUCC